rnacentral:rRNA from 1 species
AAUGGGUCAGCGACUUAUAUUCUGUAGCAAGGUUAACCGAAUAGGGGAGCCGAAGGGAAACCGAGUCUUAACUGGGCGUUAAGUUGCAGGGUAUAGACCCGAAACCCGGUGAUCUAGCCAUGGGCAGGUUGAAGGUUGGGUAACACUAACUGGAGGACCGAACCGACUAAUGUUGAAAAAUUAGCGGAUGACUUGUGGCUGGGGGUGAAAGGCCAAUCAAACCGGGAGAUAGCUGGUUCUCCCCGAAAGCUAUUUAGGUAGCGCCUCGUGAAUUCAUCUCCGGGGGUAGAGCACUGUUUCGGCAAGGGGGUCAUCCCGACUUACCAACCCGAUGCAAACUGCGAAUACCGGAGAAUGUUAUCACGGGAGACACACGGCGGGUGCUAACGUCCGUCGUGAAGAGGGAAACAACCCAGACCGCCAGCUAAGGUCCCAAAGUCAUGGUUAAGUGGGAAACGAUGUGGGAAGGCCCAGACAGCCAGGAUGUUGGCUUAGAAGCAGCCAUCAUUUAAAGAAAGCGUAAUAGCUCACUGGUCGAGUCGGCCUGCGCGGAAGAUGUAACGGGGCUAAACCAUGCACCGAAGCUGCGGCAGCGACACUAUGUGUUGUUGGGUAGGGGAGCGUUCUGUAAGCCUGUGAAGGUGGCCUGUGAGGGUUGCUGGAGGUAUCAGAAGUGCGAAUGCUGACAUAAGUAACGAUAAAGCGGGUGAAAAGCCCGCUCGCCGGAAGACCAAGGGUUCCUGUCCAACGUUAAUCGGGGCAGGGUGAGUCGACCCCUAAGGCGAGGCCGAAAGGCGUAGUCGAUGGGAAACAGGUUAAUAUUCCUGUACUUGGUGUUACUGCGAAGGGGGGACGGAGAAGGCUAUGUUGGCCGGGCGACGGUUGUCCCGGUUUAAGCGUGUAGGCUGGUUUUCCAGGCAAAUCCGGAAAAUCAAGGCUGAGGCGUGAUGACGAGGCACUACGGUGCUGAAGCAACAAAUGCCCUGCUUCCAGGAAAAGCCUCUAAGCAUCAGGUAACAUCAAAUCGUACCCCAAACCGACACAGGUGGUCAGGUAGAGAAUACCAAGGCGCUUGAGAGAACUCGGGUGAAGGAACUAGGCAAAAUGGUGCCGUAACUUCGGGAGAAGG